UCUAAUCGAGAAGAAUCAAUCCCAAUCUCUGGUCUCUUCUUUCAUCUCCACCAUCUGCUUCGAGCUUAUUGAGCCUCCCAAUGGCUACUACUUCCUCCAAUCUCUCACUGUUGUUAAUUUCAUCUGCAGUUCGUUCAACGCAACGUUGUUGAUUUCUGCCGCAUUCUCAUUCUGUUUUCAUCGUCUACAGGUGCCUGAUAAUUGUUCCUUCCAAUGGCGACUUCCUCCGAUCUCUCGCAGUUAUUUUAUCUGCAAUUCGUUCGAUGUUCUUUAAUUUGAAUGGAUUUCCGGUGUCCAUAUCCUAUUCUCAUCUUGUUUUCACCGUCUUCAGGAUUAAAUUGUUUAAUCAGUUACUCGAGUCGGAUUUUGCCAGAUAAAUUACUCAUCUCCAUCAUCAGGAUUUACAUGCGCAACCUCGUCUACAGGAAGGAUCCAACAAUAGAAGAAGGCCAUCAAUAUUGAGGUAAAUUCUCUAACUUUGUGUGGGAUUCUUCCAAAUGGAUGAUUUUCAUUUACCAUCCUUAUCAUCACUUAUCAUCACUAGUAGAGUACACAACAAAAGCAGAAUCUUUGAAUAAGUGGAAUUAUAAUUUUGAAUCUAUUUUGAAACAAGAAAUCCCUUGGCGCUCCAAGUAUUCCAAAGGAUAACAAAAUAGAAAGCCCAAUAUGAUUUCUUUUCUCUUAACUACCAAUGGAAAUGCUGGAUUUUAUUUGGACAGGAAUAUACUCUUUUUUGCAUGUUGGGCAAUGAUUAAAUCCAUUUUUCUCUUAUAUUACUUAAUUAACUCCAACUUGAAUGCAUUUUCUUUGAUUUUAUUCUCUUCAAGUAUAUUUGUUUUUUUGUUUUUAACUUCCAAUGGUUGGAAUCUUUAUAUAAUUAUCCCUCUGGGUUGAUUUUUUAAAUAUUCCAAACCUUUCUUUUUUCUCGAGUGCACUCCAACUCUGUUUUCAGCCAUAAAAGACAAAAAAAAAAAAAAGGAGAGAAUUAGAUUUUAUACGGCUAAUUUGGAUUCUAAAUGAGAUAGGUUUGAAAAUAAAUAUAUUUAAGUGAAUUAUUUACUCUCAAAACUUCAAAACUAAGCUAAUUUGGUGGAUUUGUAAAUUGUCUUAGGGUCAAUAAAGAUUCAUGUAAACGGAUUUUAUAGUAUGUCGUUUUUGACUCCUCGAGCACUCUUCCCUUCUCGAAGUAAUGUCGUCCAUGUUUCUAGAGAUUGUUAUCUUA